rnacentral:rRNA from 1 species
GACGAACGCUGGCGGCGUGCCUAAUACAUGCAAGUAGAACGCUGAAGCUUGGUGCUUGCACCGAGCGGAUGAGUUGCGAACGGGUGAGUAACGCGUAGGUAACCUGCCUGGUAGCGGGGGAUAACUAUUGGAAACGAUAGCUAAUACCGCAUAAGAGUAGAUGUUGCAUGACAUUUGCUUAAAAGGUGCAAUUGCAUCACUACCAGAUGGACCUGCGUUGUAUUAGCUAGUUGGUGAGGUAACGGCUCACCAAGGCAACGAUACAUAGCCGACCCGAGAGGGUGAGCGGCCACACUGGGACUGAGACACGGCCCAGACUCCUACGGGAGGCAGCAGUAGGGAAUCUUCGGCAAUGGACGGAAGUCUGACCGAGCAACGCCGCGUGAGUGAAGAAGGUUUUCGGAUCGUAAAGCUCUGUUGUAAGAGAAGAACGAGUGUGAGAGUGGAAAGUUCACACUGUGACGGUAUCUUACCAGAAAGGGACGGCUAACUACGUG